rnacentral:rRNA from 1 species
AUUGAACGCUGGCGGCAGGCCUAACACAUGCACGUAGAACGAGUGGCGGACGGGUGAGUAAUGUAUGGGAAACUGCCAGAUGGAGGGGGAUAACUACUGGAAACGGUAGCUAAUACAGCAUACUAUCGGAUGAGCCCAGAUGGGAUUAGCUUGUUGGUGGGGUAACAGCUCACCUAGGCGACGGUCCCUAGCUGGUCUGAGAGGAUGACCAGCAAACCUGGAACUGAGACACGGCUCAGACUCCUACGGGAGGCAGCAGUGGGGAAUAUUGCACAAUGGGCGCAAGCCUGAUGCAGCCAUGCCGCGUGUAUGAAGAAGGCCUUAGGGUUGUAAAGUACUUUCAGCGGGGAGGCUUUACCCGCAGAAGAAGCACCGGCUAACUCCGUGCCAGCAGCCGCGGUAAUUC